GGGUGAGUAACGCGUAAGUAAUCUACCCUGGCAUCUGGAAUAACCCACCGAAAGGUGUGCUAAUACCGGAUACGCUGAUUUAUCAGGAAAGGUGGCCUCUUCAUGAAAGCUACUGUGCCGGGAGGAGCUUGCGUACCAUUAGCUAGUUGGUGGGGUAAUGGCCUACCAAGGCGACGAUGGUUAGCGGGUCUGAGAGGAUGAUCCGCCACACUGGAACUGGAACACGGACCAGACUCCUACGGGAGGCAGCAGUGAGGAAUAUUGCGCAAUGGGGGAAACCCUGACGCAGCGACGCCGCGUGGAUGAUGAAGGCCUUCGGGUCGUAAAAUCCUGUCAGAUGGAAAGAAAUGGUAUAUGCCUAAUAUGUGUAUACUUUGACGGUACCAUCAAAGGAAGCACCGGCUAACUCCGUGCCAGCAGCCGCGGUAAUACGGAGGGUGCAAGCGUUGUUCGGAAUUACUGGGCGUAAAGCGCGCGUAGGCGGCUUUUUAAGUCAGAUGUGAAAGUCCACGGCUCAACCGUGGAAGUGCAUUUGAUACUGGGAAGCUUGAGUACUGGAGGGGAUGGUGGAAUUCCCGGUGUAGAGGUGAAAUUCGUAGAUAUCGGGAGGAAUACCGGUGGCGAAGGCGACCAUCUGGCCAGAUACUGACGCUGAGGUGCGAAAGCGU
rnacentral:rRNA from 1 species